UCUUUUAAUAAAAGUCCUUUUUGAGGGGAGAAAAUAAACUGUAUUCUUCCGGAAUCCAUGCGUUCACCCUUUUCCUGUCCUAACCUCACAUCCUCCCCUAGCAUGGCAACCCGUCACUUCCAUCGCAUUGUUGCCAAGUUACUUACCAACAGAACACCUUGCACUUGUUUUCUGCUUCUUUCAUUGCAGUUAUUAUUUGUUUGUUUUUCUCUUCAAUGUCCUUCAUUUCCCCUUCAUUUGUCAGCAUUGCUGAUAGACAGGAAUUAAGGAGUUGUGCGUAUUGGUCUGCGCUUUGUGUUGUUAAUAAUUUUCUAGACGCUGUUUUUCUUAUUAGUUUUGACCUCGCCUCUCUCGUAUUUAUGAAAUUUGAAAAAUUGUUAAGAACAGUUACGUCUUGCACUACGGUUUUCAUGUUUAAAAUUAUCAGAUCGAUUUGGUUUUUUGUAACUUCACCUGGGCUAGCGCAAGUCCAUUUUCUCUAGGGGGUCAUUUUGUAAAAGCUGUUUAUUGCAUAAAAGUUUGUUUGGUGUAGGAAGUCAAGCAAUACUUGUCCUCUGUCAUUUCUUGUCCCCAACCAGGGUUACCAGGGGUGGCUGGUGCAUAUGAGCUGCAGAGCUGCAGAACUGACAAAAAAUAUUGAUAACAUACAAUCCAACUACUCAAAACCAGGACUGAGAACACUCGGUACAUCAGUCUACGAGCCGCCACUGUCCCCAACCGAUGGCUUCCCAGUGAUGUUUUACUGUCGUCUUGUUUGUGGCCCAAUUUGGCGUUAAAAUCUCCCAUAAUCAAAGUGUAAUGGGAAAGUGUCUGUCGUCAAGCUGUGUUGAUGUCGUCGUAGAAGCUUUCAAUAUCUUCGUCCUUUUGCGUCGAGGUGGAGGCAUAGGUUUGUAUAAUUUUCAAUGUAUAUCUACUGUUUAAUCUAAUUGUAAGGUAUGCUACUCUGGGACUUACGCUUUGGAUCUGUAAGGCUACGCGCACAUGUGAUUUGUGUAUUAGGAAGCCCACUCCUCCUUGGUUUAUAUUGUCUGUACCCACAUAAUAUAGUAGGUGACCUGAUUGAAGUCUUAGUUCUUUCUCGUUUUCGUCGUUUAUGCUCACUGGUUCCCAGUAUGUCCCACCUUAAGAACUUGAGCUCCUCCUCCAAUUGCUGAAGUUUAUAUGUUGUCGAUAGAGUUCUAACAUUGUAAGUGAUAAUUUGCUGCGUUCGUUUGCUGUGGUAGCGCGAUCCACUCCGGGGAUUCUUAGCACCUUCCACCCGUGCUCUUGUCCUAUCGCUACCUUGAUUGGGGAGACACGCGUCACCGGAGACUGAAGGCCUGGCGCCUUCUGUACUCAUAUCAUAUCAUAAACGGGGCUUUUUACCGUUUAGCCUAACACGCUGGCCAUUGCGUGUUGUUAGGGGGUCUAUGGAGAGUAGCAUUUCCUCAGCUCUAGUUCUAACGGUUAUUCCGCCGUGAGUCGGACGCCAGAGCUUCGUUGGUUGCCCAGCAGGGUGCACCGGGUGUCAAGGGUGUCAAGGGUUUGGCACUAGCUCGAGCAGGGGAGGUUGAAUUUGGACCUUCUUAAUCAUCACCCCCUUACACCCCUCGUUUUGGCUGUUUGUUCCUUUUUUCUGAUUUUCUUCGUUGGUUGCGUUUGGUUAGUGUUCAUACAGUUCUACAGAUAGGGGCGUACCUUGGUGCGUGUGGUCAGUUUGGGGCAAAACUUGAUCACUCACACUGGGGUUGGAAAGAAUGCUUCUGUUCAGAAUUAUGGAGGUGGUAAAAGUCCACCAAGUGUGAGUGCAAAGUAAUCUUCAAUUACUUUGCGCUCAUUGUGUCAGCCAUAUAGAUUGCUGACCCUGUCUCAUUGUUUUUUUUAAUGAAUAAUUUUUGGUGAAUUGUCUGGUGCAAGACUGGGACAUGUUUUUUUCUGCCCAUUGAUUUUUUUUUCUUUUUUAACUUGAUCGUUUCUGAAUUUUGGCGGUGUCGUUUAUUUGUCUUUCGUAUCUUCAAGUUCGCUUUGGUUCAAGAGUGUAUCGGUUUUCAGGUUGCAGUUGUUGGUGGUGAUUUUCUAGGGACGUCAAGAUGUUUUUGGUUGAUUUCUGCUACCUGGUUUUUGGUUAUUCGCUUCCUGUCUGGGGUUAACUUACCAUGUGAUUGGAAUUUUUAGGUGUUACCCAGCAGGAAGUGUGAAUGCUUUUGGUAUGAGAGUGGAAAUCGUUUGGCCUGCUUUUUGAUGCCCUGGUGUUGACCUUUUCAGGACCUAGAUUUAUGUUUUCGCAUUAACGCUAAUGGUUGAGGUUCGUUGUUGGUGUUGCGGGUUAGGAUCUGUUUGCCUUUUGGAAUGUUGCGAAGUACUUAGGGCCUUUUAGGGUCUGGUCCAUGACAAGGACAUUCUGAGUGGCUUGGUAUAGUUUCAAAUAUGGGAGACGAAAAGCAGGCGGAACAGCAUUCUUUCAGAAUGUUGUUUCGUUUCGUGCUGGCUUGAUGAGCAUGGCGUGGUGCCUCCCACAACAUUAACACUGUCCCUUUUAUAUGCAUUAGUUCUUUUCUAUUAAACUUUUCUUAAUUAUAUUAUUUUAUUAUUAAUCUAUCAAAAUUCCUUGAUGUAAUAUGUUUCCGAUUUGCGGCAGGCAUAGCAAUUCAGAAUACGUUAUCUCAGUAAUCAUAAUUUUUUGUAGCAUUUUAGGUUCUGUAAGUUUGAUGUCCAUAGUGUGGCUGAUUGCCGAAAAACUUUAUAUGGAAGUUUUCCUCUUGUCGAAAAAGAAGGGGGAUAUGUAACUGUUAAAAAUGGAAUUUUUAGCUAGCUAGCUACCAAUAUAUGUAGUUAUAAGUUAUAAUUGUAGUAAGUUGCUUAGGACAUUUUACAACUGGAAAGUAUUCGUACGAAAAAGUGAUUUUUGCUACUGUUUAUGUUUGAUUGAAAAAAAAACAGCUGCCUUGGAAGAAAAAAUAAUCCAGAUGUGUUGCCCAACGAAAAUGUAGGAUACGUUUCUAGUUUCCAACCAGGUCCAUCUGCCUGCCUACUCCCUAUUUAAAUGGUUUUUAAAAAGAGCUGAAAUGAAGCCAGAAGUCCGAGUAGAAGUUAUUUCUGCAUAGUGCACAAGAAUUUGGUGAUGGUUCAAAACUUAUUCAAGAAAUUUGAGCAAAGCACAUUUAUGGAAGCUGUGUUAGUGAGUCAGUUCAAACUGAUGUACCUAGCUGAAGAAUAUUCAAGUCGUGUUUGUCAGAAUUCAGAUUUUUACAAUUCAGUAAUGUACACCUUCCAAGAAAAACUUGAAGUGAUGGAUGUAAAGCUUUAUAAGCCCUGAGCUAUAAUCAACGUAAAAACAACGGCUUUAAAUGACGUAAUUCACCAAAUAUGCCGCGAUGUUGGGGAACUUAUAAAUAUCAAGCCGUUUUGACUAAGGGAGAUCAUACUGGGUGUUUUUUUUUAGUGCGAGAGAGUUCGUUAUUUCCGUUGGU